rfam:Gossypium raimondii Chr01_contig_839, whole genome shotgun sequence.
CACGUCAGCGUAAUUUGCUGACGUGGACACAAAUGCGCUUACGUGGACGCGAUUUGUUGCCACGUCAGCAAAGCGCGUUGACGUGG